rnacentral:rRNA from 1 species
GACGAACGCUGGCGGCGUGCCUAACACAUGCAAGUCGAGCGAUGAAGCCCUUCGGGGUGGAUUAGCGGCGGACGGGUGAGUAACACGUGGGUAACCUGCCUCAAAGAGGGGGAUAGCCUCCCGAAAGGGAGAUUAAUACCGCAUAACAUUAGUUUUUCGCAUGAAGAACUAAUUAAAGGAGUAAUCCGCUUUGAGAUGGACCCGCGGCGAAUUAGCUAGUUGGUGAGGUAAAGGGUCACCAAGGCGACGAUGCGUAGCCGACCUGAGCGGGUGAUCGGCCACAUUGGAACUGAGACACGGUCCAGACUCCUACGGGAGGCAGCAGUGGGGAAUAUUGCACAAUGGGCGAAAGCCUGAUGCAGCAACGCCGCGUGAGUGAUGAAGGCCUUCGGGUUGUAAAGCUCUGUCUUUUGGGACGAUAAUGACGGUACCAAAGGAGGAAGCCACGGCUAACUACGUGCCAGCCGCCGCGGUAAUAC